AUCCUGUUGAAAGAUCCCUGAAGGGAGACCCUUACUCAAGUCUUGGGAAAUUGCGGACCCCAGACACAGAGAGACCA
rnacentral:pre_miRNA from 14 species